rnacentral:rRNA from 1 species
AGAGUUUGAUCCUGGCUCAGGAUGAACGCUAGCUACAGGCUUAACACAUGCAAGUCGAGGGGCAGCAUGGUCUUAGCUUGCUAAGACUGAUGGCGACCGGCGCACGGGUGAGUAACACGUAUCCAACCUGCCGUCUACUCUUGGACAGCCUUCUGAAAGGAAGAUUAAUACAAGAUGGCAUCAUGAGUCCGCAUGUUCACAUGAUUAAAGGUAUUCCGGUAGACGAUGGGGAUGCGUUCCAUUAGAUAGUAGGCGGGGUAACGGCCCACCUAGUCUUCGAUGGAUAGGGGUUCUGAGAGGAAGGUCCCCCACAUUGGAACUGAGACACGGUCCAAACUCCUACGGGAGGCAGCAGUGAGGAAUAUUGGUCAAUGGGCGAGAGCCUGAACCAGCCAAGUAGCGUGAAGGAUGACUGCCCUAUGGGUUGUAAACUUCUUUUAUAAAGGAAUAAAGUCGGGUAUGGAUACCCGUUUGCAUGUACUUUAUGAAUAAGGAUCGGCUAACUCCGUGCCAGCAGCCGCGGU